rnacentral:misc_RNA from 1 species
GAUGAAGAACGCAGCGAAAUGCGAUAAGUAAUGUGAAUUGCAGAAUUCAGUGAAUCAUCGAAUCUUUGAACGCACAUUGCGCCCUCUGGUAUUCCGGGGGGCAUGCCUGUUCGAGCGUCAUUAUAACCACUCAAGCUCUCGCUUGGUAUUGGGGUUCGCGGUUUCGCGGCCCCUAAAAUCAGUGGCGGUGCCUGUCGGCUCUACGCGUAGUAAUACUUCUCGCGAUUGAGUUCGAUAGGGCUACUUGCCAGUAACCCCCAAUUUUUACAGGUUGACCUCGGAUCAGGUAGGGAUACCCGCUGAACUUAAGCAUAUCAAUAAGCGGAGGA